rnacentral:rRNA from 1 species
AGGGCGUACGGCGGAUGCCUAGGCUUUCAGAGACGAAGAAGGACGUGUACAGCUGCGAUAAGUUCCGGUGAGGUGCCUAAAAACCUUUGACCCGGAAAUCUCCGAAUGGGGCAACCCAAGUGUUUUAACACUUUUAAGAGUCAACCCGCUGAACUGAAACAUCUAAGUAAGCGGAGGAAAAGAAAAUAAUUUAAUGAUUCCCCAAGUAGUGGCGAGCGAACGGGGAAGAGCCCAAACCUGUGUUGUUAAGGCAACAUAGGGGUUGUAGGACCCACAUAACGAAUAAACAGCUAAUUAGAAACGCAUGGGAAGGCGUACCAUAGAGGGUGAUAGUCCCUUAUAAGUAAAGUGUUUAUUCCGGAGGGUAUCCUGAGUAGCGCGGGACCGGAGAAAUCUUGCGUGAAUCUGCCAGCACCAUCUGGUAAGGCUAAAUACUACUGAAAGACCGAUAGUGAACUAGUACUGCGAAGGAAAGGUGAAAAGUAUCCCGAACAGGGAGGUGAAAAGAACCUGAAAUCGUACGCCUACAAGCGGUCGGAGUCCCUAUAUGGGAUGACGGCGUGCCUUUUGCAUAAUGAGCCAACGAGUUACUCCUCACUGGCAAGGUUAAUUCCUUUAGGGAAGCAGCCGAAGCGAAAGCGAGUCCAAAUAGGGCGUUUAGUCAGUGGGGGUAGACGCGAAACUUUGUGAUCUAUCCAUGGGCAGGUUGAAGUUGUGGUAACACACAAUGGAGGACCGAACCCGUUAACGUUGAAAAGUUUUGGGAUGACCUGUGGAUAGGGGUGAAAGGCCAAUCAAACUGAGAGAUAGCUCGUUCUCCCCGAAAUGUUUUUAGGAACAGCCUCGGAUUAUAGACGUUUAGCACAGGUAGAGCUACUGAUUGGGCUAGGGGGCUUCACCGCCUACCAAACCCUGACAAACUCCGAAUGCUAUAACAUGUUUCACGGGAGUGAGGCGUUGGGUGCUAAGGUCCAGCGCCGAGAGGGAAAGAACCCGGACCACCGGCUAAGGUCCCCAAAUGUAUACUAAGUUGAUUAAACGAGGUCUGAUUGCAUUGACAGCUAGGAUGUUGGCUUGGAAGCAGCCAUUCAUUUAAAGAGUGCGUAACAGCUCACUAGUCGAGCGAUCGUGCGUGGAUAAUAAGCGGGCAUUAAGUAUACUACCGAAGCUAUGGAUUAUAUAGUAAUAUAUACUGGUAGGGGAGCAUUCUAUGUGUGCUGAAGGUGAGUGGUAACGCUUGCUGGAACGCAUAGAAAAGCAAAUGUAGGAAUAAGUAACGAUAAUGCAGGCGAGAAACCUGCACACCGAAAGACUAAGGUUUCCUGGGCGACGUUAAUCGUCCCAGGGUUAGUCGGGACCUAACGCGAACCCGAAGGGGGUAGUGGAUGGCGAACUGGUUAAUAUUCCAGUACUUGUUAUAACUGCGAUGGGGUGACGGAUUAAUGAAAGUACCGCGCACUGACGGAAUAGUGCGUUAAAGGGAGUAGGUAUACGAUUUGUAGGAAAAUCCGCAGAUUGUGCUGAACCUGAUAGUACCGAGAGGCUUCGGCUGAUUGGAUAGUGUACCUAAAGGAUUCCAAGAAAAACCUCUAAGCUUCAGGUUAUAACAACUCGUACCGUAAACCGACACAGGUAGUCGAGAUGAGAAUUCUAAGGUGCUCGAGUGAUUCAUGGCUAAGGAACUAGGCAAAAUGGUCUCGUAACUUCGGGAGAAGAGACGCCAGCGCAAGCUGGCCGCAGUGAAUAGGCCCAGGCGACUGUUUAUCAAAAACACAUGGCUUUGCAAAAUCGAAAGAUGAAGUAUAAGGCCUGACACCUGCCCGGUGCUGGAAGGUUAAGAGGGGAUGUUAGCGUAAGCGAAGCAUUGAAUCGAAGCCCCAGUAAACGGCGGCCGUAACUAUAACGGUCCUAAGGUAGCGAAAUUCCUUGUCGGGUAAGUUCCGACCUGCACGAAUGGUGUAACGAUCUGGGCACUGUCUCAACCAUGAGCUCGGUGAAAUUGUAGUCUCGGUGAAGAUGCCGAGUACCCGCAACGGGACGGAAAGACCCCGUGCACCUUUACUACAACUUCACAUUGGUAUUGGAUAAUUGACGUGUAGGAUAGGUGGGAGACUACGAAGCGGCCUCGCUAGGGGUUGUGGAGUCGUCCUUGAAAUACCACCCUUCAAUUAUCUGAUAUCUAACUUUUAACGAAGAACAGUGUGUGGUGGGUAGUUUGACUGGGGUGGUCGCCUCCAAAAGAGUAACGGAGGCUU